GCGGGCGGGCGGAGGCUGACGGGAAGCGAGUUUGGCGCCGCGCGCCCUCCCACGCGGACCAAUCAGAUCUCUGGACGCGGGGACGUCGCUUUGCGGAGGGAACGUCGGCGGGUCAAGCAGUCCGCUAGGCCCCCGGAAGUGAUGCAACUCCCACCCGCCCCACCACGGGCCUUGCGGCCCCCGCCCGGACAUGCCCGGAAGUUCCUGCGAGCCGCUGGGGCUCGGUGUGGGUCCGCGAUACUUCCGUGCGGGCUGGGCGGGCCUCGGCCUUGUGCCUCCCCCUGGGUGGAGGGGCCGAGCCGCAGCCUGCGGUCCCUCGGCUGCUCAGGGUCUUGGAUUUGCUUGUUUUUCGGGUCCUUUGAGGCUAACAUCUCCGCGGAUCCCAAGCGCCCGGCCGAGACGGUGCUGCGCCAGGAGAACAGCUGGCGCGUGGUCGCUGUGUGAGCCAGCGGCCUCCACUCUGCCUCCGUUGCAGGCAUCUCCGGUCUCUCCCUGUGGUUUUUGUUUUAUCCUCACUUUCACCCAAGUUUAAGAUCUUGCAUCCUUUUAAUUUCUGUAAAUAGUCUUAAACAGUAACGGGUGCAUGCUAGGAAAUUUGCGAGUUUUUGUUUUUUAGCAAGGUGAUCCAUAAUUUUGACUUAACAGCUUUAAAAGAAAACUUAAAAUUAAAGGCUUAAAAAUUUUCUAUUAUCUUUUACCUGAGCUCCGUGGACUCCUCCCCGAUGGAGGCACCUGCCUGGAAUUGAAGGGCGUACCUGCCCAGGUUCACGGGCACAACUCUGAAAUGAACUCUUAUCUCCUGGCUGAAAAUUUGUUAAAAAAAGAAAUGCUGAAACCCUGUUGAGAAAUACAGGGGAAAGACACAAACAGCGUAUUUACAAAAGAAGACCCACAUGUCCAAUAAACAGGAAAACCUUCAGCUUUAAUAAUAAGAAAAAUGCAAAUAAAAACACGAUUUAAGUGGCA